GGGAUCAUUACCGAGUUAUACAACUCAUCAACCCUGUGAACAUACCUAUAACGUUGCCUCGGCGGGAACAGACGGCCCCGUAACACGGGCCGCCCCCGCCAGAGGACCCCCUAACUCUGUUUCUAUAAUGUUUCUUCUGAGUAAACAAGCAAAUAAAUUAAAACUUUCAACAACGGAUCUCUUGGCUCUGGCAUCGAUGAAGAACGCAGCGAAAUGCGAUAAGUAAUGUGAAUUGCAGAAUUCAGUGAAUCAUCGAAUCUUUGAACGCACAUUGCGCCCGCCAGUAUUCUGGCGGGCAUGCCUGUUCGAGCGUCAUUACAACCCUCAGGCCCCCGGGCCUGGCGUUGGGGAUCGGCGGAAGCCCCCUGCGGGCACAACGCCGUCCCCCAAAUACAGUGGCGGUCCCGCCGCAGCUUCCAUUGCGUAGUAGCUAACACCUCGCAACUGGAGAGCGGCGCGGCCACGCCGUAAAACACCCAACUUCUGAAUGUUGACCUCG
rnacentral:rRNA from 1 species